rnacentral:rRNA from 1 species
AGCAUAUCAAUAAGCGGAGGAAAAGAAACCAACAGGGAUUGCCCUAGUAACGGCGAGUGAAGCGGCAACAGCUCAAAUUUGAAAUCUGGCGUCUCCGGCGUCCGAGUUGUAAUUUGUAGAGGAUGCUUCUGGGCAGCCACCGGUCUAAGUUCCUUGGAACAGGACGUCAUAGAGGGUGAGAAUCCCGUAUGCGACCGGACAGGCACCCUCCACGUAGCUCCUUCGACGAGUCGAGUUGUUUGGGAAUGCAGCUCUAAAUGGGAGGUAAAUUUCUUCUAAAGCUAAAUACCGGCCAGAGACCGAUAGCGCACAAGUAGAGUGAUCGAAAGAUGAAAAGUACUUUGGAAAGAGAGUUAAAAAGCACGUGAAAUUGUUGAAAGGGAAGGGUUUGCAACCAGACUUGCUCGCGGUGUUCCGCCGGUCUUCUGACCGGUCUACUCGCCGUGUUGCAGGCCAGCAUCGUCUGGGGCCGCCGGAUAAGACUUUAGGAAUGUAGCUCCCUCGGGAGUGUUAUAGCCUAUCGUGAUGCGGCGCGUCCCGGGCGAGGUCCGCGCUUCGGCUAGGAUGCUGGCAUAAUGGUUGUAAACCGCCCGUC